rnacentral:tRNA from 1 species
GGGGAUUUAGCUCAAUGGUAGAGCGCUUGCCUAGCAAGCGCAAGGCCCUGGGUUCGGUUCCCAGCUCCG